GAUCAUGGCUCAGGACGAACGCUGGCGGCGUGCUUAACACAUGCAAGUCGAACGGAAAUACCAAGCUUGCUUGGUUGAUUAGUGGCGAACGGGUGAGUAACACGUGAGUAACCUGCCCCUUACUUUCCUGGAUAACUGCUCGAAAGGGUAGCUAAUACGGGAUAUUCUGACCAUCCUGCAUGGGUUGGUUUGGAAAGGUUGUUCUUCUGGUAAGGGAUGGGCUCGCGGCCUAUCAGCUUGUUGGUGGGGUG
rnacentral:rRNA from 1 species